rnacentral:lncRNA from 1 species
CAACUCUCAACAACAUGCAUAAACCAUAAACCAAGCAUAUAUGGGCCUCACAACUAGCUCAAACGCCACAAACCACAUCAAACAUCACCAAAACACCUAUGGUCAACUUAUGGCUUUACUAACAACCCUCCCAUAAAACUCUCUUAAACUCUUUAAAACAUGGUGAAAACAUAAGGGGAGGUGAGGAUCCAUGCUUACCUCUUGAAGAACGAGAGGAUUGAUGGUCCUAACGUGGAGAUGUGGUGGAAAAUGAUCCAAAGUCUCCAAGUUCCUCAAACUUGCCUUCUUUGCUCAAAAACUCUAAAACCAAGUCACAACCCAUCAAAACAUGCA